GUUCUCAAUAAGAGACUGCCAUGGGGGUCGGGUGGAGCUCAAAGAAGCAUGAGAGAGACACACAGAGAGAUUACCAUAAAAGAGUAGACAGAUAUCAACUUUCUGAUAGACCGGUAUCCUUAGCCAUGGUUUCUCAUGGUUUUUCUGAGCACUACGUUGUUGCCAUCUUCUCAGUCUCCAAAGAACUCCCGUGACAUUGAGGGAAAGAUGACAAUUGUUUCUUCUGUUUUACUUUCAAAAAUGGUUUUUGCUGUCACCACAGAAGAAAACCGGCAGAGUGGUUAAAGUACCGUUAUAACACCACUGGAAUAGCCCUUGCUGGUCAUCAGAAAACUAAGCUAGAAGCUUCAACCUGCCCAUCCACCCACCCCUACCCACACAGGCAGAAGAGGCUCCUGCAGGAAAUGGGCUCUGUUUGUGAUUGCAGUGUGCCCUAAGACUCAAAAGAGGGCAGCAGAUAGCUGACACUGCCUGUCGGACCAGGAAAGCCUGUAACCUGAGGAAUGUCAAUAGGAAAAUCUGCAGGUUUAUCAAAACUCACAUCCUGCAAGGGUUAGCUGAGCCAGAACUGUGUGCUUCUAGAACUGCGUGUUUAAUAUCUGUCAAAGCAGAUAUUUGAUUCAUGGGAUCUAAUGAGCUUUGGUGAUAUGGAGGGCAAAUGGCCUCUUGCCCACCAUGGCAGCCUCAUGCCACGUGAUUUAGGGAUUGAAAACCUGUGAUGCCGAUGUCAGCAAAGUCACGGCUGAGACACAGGAGCAAUGGCCAGGCAGGGUGGUGUGGAGAGACUGCCUGAGUGCUUUGGCAGCCUUGUAAGAGAGUUGGCUGAUAUUCUGAAAUAAGCAGGACCCUCCCCACAAAGAGGGUGCAGUCUCUCCCGACCUGGUAAAUUGCACAGAGACUGAGAAUCACAGGAUGUGGGAGCAAAGGAUUCUGUUACUCUCUUUGAGAUUUUCCAGUGCUUGCAGAAGAAAGCUUGUGAUGGGAAGGACAUGCCCCAGCUCCUGGGAGAUUGGGGUUUCAGGGAGGCUGGGGGCAGGUAGGGUGAAGGAGGAAAAACACUGCUGGAGGGGAAGAGGCAUGAAGCACUCGGGCAGAAAGCAAAGCAGAGUCCUCAACCCAGUCUUGCAGAGUUUAGGAUUUCAUCCCAGGGUUCAUCUCUGUGAUCCUGUUUCCUAAAAAGACUAAUAAUCAGGUGUUGAUUCCUAAAACAGCCUCCCAGAAAAGUUCUUCUGUGUCAUUUGGCAGGGAAAAACCGUGAACAGAAAGGAAUUGUAUUUUUAAAGUCAACCCUGAAAUGA
ensembl:lncRNA